AAGAAGGCGAGUCACGUCAUCAGUCACAUUCAGGGCGCCAUUCAUCAGUUCUUCAGUCUCCUUGCUGCUGAGUGUGCUAUCAACGCGCAGUCUAUGGCAUUUCGCCAUUACUGUUGUGUGCGGAAGGGGAAAAGAAAAAAAAAAAUUAAAGCUGCAGCCAUUCACCCAAAAUGUCAUGAGUUUUGAAACUUUUCAGAAGAGAGGAUGAGAUUGCAAAAAAAGGACAACAAAGAUGCAAAUUCCUCCUGCAUAGAGUGGUGACAGAUCCAUGGCAUCAGGGACACAAGCUGCAAGGAUUGUAUUAUAUGCUGCAGUCAACAGUUGGUGUCCCAACUCGAGGCAGCAGCAGAUCAAGCACUGUAGCUGUAUCCCACUUCAGCACUUCAGGCUGAGGGAAGUCCAGAGUGAUGCCAAAAGCACCACUAGUGGGUCAAAAAAGUGGGCAGAAUGCUGCACUGCUGUCAUUACUGGAUUUCAUCAAAGAUGUUGAAGGACUCAAUCACAUUCUCAUUCUGCAAGGGAAGAGCCUUGUACCUCGUAUCACAGUCUCCACCACUCAUCCACAUACCUUUGAGCAGUACUCCAUGAACUCAUCCAUAGUAACCACACCAUCCUUGUUGAGAUCAAGCUUCUGCAGGAAAGGAAAUAAUUUUGAUCCGUUCCACAUGGUCCACUGGAGUGCCGUCAUCAAUGGCUGGGCUCGUCUGUUCUCCCAUCAGGUCAUAAAUCGACGUGACAAUAUCAACUAACUCUUCCUUUGUGAUGUACCCGUCAUUGUUGAUGUCAUACAAGCUGAAGGGUGAAGAGAGGCAGUCAACCAAGUGUACAGUCAUAUAUUAUGGAAACUUUCUAAGCAGACAUACUUGUCACACUACAUUGGUGAAGUCAUGCUGGAUUUAAAGAUUAUUUUUUUUAAUUUGAAAUUUAACUAAAUACAUAGUACAUUUUUUC